GGCCCGUUCGUCUAGUGGUUAGGACUCCAGGUUUUCAUCCUGGCAACAGGAGUUCGAUUCUCCUACGGGCUACCA
rnacentral:tRNA from 1 species